CCUACGGGAGGCAGCAGUGAGGAAUAUUGGUCAAUGGGCGCGAGCCUGAACCAGCCAAGUCGCGUGAGGGAAGACGGUCCUAUGGAUUGUAAACCUCUUUUGUCGGGGAGCAAAAGACGCCACGCGUGGCGUUCCGAGAGUACCCGAAGAAAAAGCAUCGGCUAACUCCGUGCCAGCAGCCGCGGUAAUACGGAGGAUGCGAGCGUUAUCCGGAUUUAUGGGGUUUAAGGGGUGCGUAGGCGGAAUGCCAAGUCAGCGGUAAAAGCGCGGGGCUCAACCUCGCUCCGCCGUUGAAACUGGCGUUCUUGAGUGGGCGAGAAGUAUGCGGAAUGCGUGGUGUAGCGGUGAAAUGCAUAGAUAUCACGCAGAACUCCGAUUGCGAAGGCAGCAUACCGGCGCCCAACUGACGCUGAAGCACGAAGGCGUGGGUAUCGAACAGGAUUAGAUACCCUUGUAGUC
rnacentral:rRNA from 1 species